GAUGAAGAACGUAGCGAAAUGCGAUAAGUAGUGUGAAUUGCAGAAUUCAGUGAAUCAUCGAAUCUUUGAACGCACAUUGCGCCCGUCAGUAUUCUGGCGGGCAUGCCUGUUCGAGCGUCAUUACGCCCCUCAAGUCCCCUGUGGACUUGGUGUUGGGGAUCGGCGAGGCUGGUUUUCCAGCACAGCCGUCCCUUAAAUUAAUUGGCGGUCUCGCCGUGGCCCUCCUCUGCGCAGUAGUAAAACACUCGCAACAGGAGCCCGGCGCGGUCCACUGCCGUAAAACCCCCCAACUUUUUAUAGUUGACCUCGAAUCAGGUAGGACUACCCGCUGAACUUAAGCAUAUCAAAAGCGGAGGA
rnacentral:misc_RNA from 1 species